AACCUUAUGGACCUGCGGGCGUAUACCUGCGGAGGGAUCAUUACCGAGUUUACAACUCCCAAACCCCUGUGAACAUACCUUUAUGUUGCCUCGGCGGAUCAGCCCGCGCCCCGUAAAACGGGACGGCCCGCCGCAGGACCACAAAACUCUGAUUUUAGUGUAACUUCUGAGUCUAAAAAACAAAUAAAUCAAAACUUUUAGCAACGGAUCU
rnacentral:misc_RNA from 1 species